rnacentral:rRNA from 1 species
AUGACGAUCGAGGAGGCGAUAGGUCGACUCAAGGUCGUCGACACCGACGAGCCACAGCCCCCCUCGGGGCCCGUCACCACCGGCGGGAAGCUGCUCCUAACUCGGGAGCAGUGGGAUCCCAGCCUUGGUGACAAGAAGAAGGGGGAGCCUUCCUCCUCGACGGGCGGCCGCAAGCGUGGCAAGCAGCGUAAGGCGCGAAGAGGCCCCCCGGGCAGGGCACAAGGACGUGCCGAAGGUGACGCCCGCGGAGGCGCCAAGGACGGCGCCGCUGGCAAGCCCAGGCCGGCACAAGACAACAGUUGCCACAACUGUGGCCGGUUUGGCCAUUGGGCCAAUGAGUGUCGGCAACCACGACAAGGCCAGGCUCACGUCGCACAGGCGAAGGAGGAGGAGACGGCUCUGUUCAUGGCGCAUGCAAGCAUUGAGCUACCCUCGGCGACUCCAGUCGCAAAGGCUUUCAUCCACCUCGAUGAGCCAAAAGCACAUGCUCUUCUCAGCGAUGGCUCCGGGAAGGACAAGGCUACGGGGUGGUGCCUCGACACCGGCGCCACCCACCACAUGACCGGUCGAAGGGAAUUCUUCGCCGAGCUCGACUCCGAUGCGCGAGGCUCCGUCAAGUUCGGGGAUGCCUCCGCUGUGGAGAUAAAGGGCGUCGGCUCCGUCAUCUUCACCACCAAGAUGGGAGAGCACCGGCUGCUCACCGGUGUCUACUACAUCCCCGCGCUAAGGAAUUCCAUCAUCAGCUUGGGACAGCUGGAUGAGAACGGCUCACGCGUGCUGAUUGAGCAUGGGGUCCUACGCAUCUGGGAUCGCCAGCGUCGCCUUCUCGCCAAGGUGCCCAGAGGUGAAAAUCGACUCUACGUCCUUGAUGUGCAGGUGGCACAACCGGUCUGUCUCGCUGUCCGUCGAGACGACGAGGCGUGGCGGUGGCAUGAGCGCUUUGGGCACCUUCACUUUGAGGCCCUGAAGCGUCUAAGUGCCAAGGAGAUGGUGCGAGGCCUGCCAUGCCUCGACCAUGUGGAGCAGUUCUGCGACAUCUGCGUACUGACAAAGCAAAGACGACUCCCCUUUCCCCAACAGGCGAGUUUUCGGGCUAAGGAGAAGCUGGAGCUCGUGCACGGAGACCUGUGCGGCCCGGUGACGCCAGCCACACCAGGAGGUCGACGCUACUUCCUGCUGCUCGUCGACGAUCUCUCCCGCUACAUGUGGGUGAUGAUCCUCGGCAGUAAGGGAGAAGCGGCGGACGCCAUCAGGCGCGCGCAGGUUGGUGUGGAGGCGGAGAGCGGCCGCAAAUUGCGCGUGUUGCGCACUGACAACGGCGGCGAGUUCACGGCGGCUGAAUUCGCGUCGUACUGCGCCGAUGAGGGCAUCCAGCGCCACUACUCCGCGCCGUACAGCCCGCAGCAAAACGGCGUCGUCGAGCGGCGCAACCAGACGGUUGUGGGGAUGGCUCGGGCUCUCCUCAAGCAGAGAGGGAUGCCGACUGUCUUCUGGGGAGAGGCGGUGCUAACGGCCGUCUACAUCCUCAACCGCUCUCCUACUAAGGCACUCGACGGCAGAACUCCGUACGAGGCCUGGCAUGGGCGGAAGCCGGCGGUCUCUCAUUUGCGGGUCUUUGGCUGCCUUGCGUUCGCCAAGGAGCUCGGCCACAUCGGCAAGCUCGACGACAGGAGCAUUCCGGGAGUCUUCAUCGGCUACGCGGAGGGCUCAAAGGCCUACCGCAUCCUCGACCCAAAGACACAACGUGUGCGCACAGCGCGAGACGUCGUGUUCAACGAAGGGCGAGGGUGGCAAUGGGACAAGGCGGUGGACGACGGCUCGACGCCGACGUAUGACGACUUCAUUGUCGAGUACGCUCACUUCAAGGAAGCUGGGGGAGCAAGCAGCUCCUCUUCACCGGGCACGUCUACCCCGGCCCCCAAAACUACAUCGACUCCGGCGCCUGCUACACCGACGACACCACAACCAGCGACGCCGCAUACUCCAGCCCCGGCGGUCGCCACUCCGGGCUCGUCUUCAUCAGCACCAGCUCACGCAGAGCACAACCCGAUGAAGUUCGCUUCCCCGCUCACUCACGACGAGGAGCGGGUCGACGCAUGGUAUGGAGGCGAACCGCUGCGGUACCGUACGAUGGAUAAUGUGCUCGGCGACCAGCCGGUGCCAGGACUGGUGCCACGUGACCUGGAGGCGCAGCUACAGCUCGUGUGUGAAGACGGCGAACCACGGUCCUUUGCAGAGGCCGAGAGAGACGCGGCAUGGCGCGCCGCGAUGAAGUUGGAGAUGGAUGCGGUCGAGCAAAACCGCACCUGGGAGCUUGCUGAUCUCCCUCGAGGUCACCGCGCAAUCACCCUUAAGUGGGUGUUCAAGCUGAAGAGGGAUGGAGCCGGCGCCAUCAUCAAGCACAAGGCUCGUUUGGUGGCCCGAGGCUUCUUGCAGCAGGAAGGAGUCGACUUCGACGACGCUUUCGCUCCCGUGGCACGGAUGGAGUCCGUGCGACUUCUCCUUGCGCUGGCUGCCCAGGAGGGCUGGCGUGUCCACCACAUGGACGUUAAGUCGGCAUUCCUCAAUGGCGACUUGAAGGAGGAAGUCUACGUGCAUCAGCCACCGGGGUUUACGAUUCCCGGCCAGGAGGGCAAGGUGCUCCGCCUGCGCAAGGCUCUCUAUGGCCUGCGGCAGGCACCCAGGGCGUGGAACGCCAAGCUGGACUCCACGCUGAAGAAGAUGGGUUUUGAGCAGAGCCCGCAUGAGGCUGCCGUCUAUCGACGGGGGAGUGGAGGAAAUGCCCUGCUGGUGGGCGUCUACGUUGACGACCUGGUGAUCACCGGCACCAAAGAUGCAGAGGACCACUCCGGGAUCGCGCUUCGACAGUCCGCCUACGCCAAGCGCAUCGUUGAGCUAGCUGGGCUCACCGACUGCCAUCCAGCUCUCACUCCGAUGGAGGAGAGGCUGAAACUAAGUCGCGACAGCACGACGGAGGAAGUGGAUGCUACGCAGUACCGACGCCUUGUGGGGAGCCUUCGCUACCUCACUCACACACGGCCGGACUUGGCAUUCUCCGUCGGCUAUGUCAGUCGGUUCAUGGAGCGACCAACGUCGGAACACCAGCAGGCAGUGAAGAGGAUCGUCCGCUACAUAGCAGGGACCCUCGACCAGGGCCUCCAUUACCCUAGGUGCCCUGGGGCGGCACACUUCGUCGGGUAUAGCGACAGCGACCACGCCGGCGACAUCGACACCAGCAAGAGCACGAGCGGGAUCCUCCUCUUCCUCGGCAAGUGUCUCGUGAGUUGGCAAUCAGUCAAGCAGCAGGUGGUGGCCCUGUCCAGCUGUGAGGCUGAGUACAUAGCGGCCUCCACCGCCUGUACUCAGGCGCUCUGGCUUGCUCGACUGCUUGGUGAUCUUCUCGUUCAAGACACCAGAACGGUGCAGCUCCUGGUGGACAGCAAGUCCGCCCUGGCCCUGGCAAAGAACCCCGUGUUCCAC